rnacentral:rRNA from 1 species
UCCUACGGGAGGCAGCAGUGGGGAAUCUUCCGCAAUGGGCGCAAGCCUGACGGAGCAAACGCCGCGUGAGUGAAGAAGGGUUUCGACUCGUAAAGCUCUGUUGUGGGGACGAAUGUGGAGAUGGUGAAUAACCAUUUUCAAUGACGGUACCUGACGAGGAAGCCACGGCUAACUACGUGC